AACCGUCAACAACAACAGCAGGUCGGUGUCAGACGUCAGAAGUGUCUACAACUGCUGCUGGGCAUUUUGGAGAAACAAGAAGAUGGAGCAUCGUACAGCGUUGUUUUUGUCCGACAUGAUGGACGCGCUACUUUUUCUAAAGAGGAGACCAACGCUACUCCUCUACUCUGGGGGUUUGUUACGGGGUUAUGGGGGCGUGGCCUGUAACCGAUCAUACUCUGACUACGCUGGUUACAUGGUAGAGAAAAUCGAAUUCCAAUCACGUUAUCUGGGUGUCUUAAUUGAAGUUCUUAAACUCCGUCUUAAUCGGAAAAAGGCGAUAAUUCGGUUUUCUUGACCCGUCAUGUAAACGUACUGAGUGAUGGUUAUAUGACGCUGACUCAGCACUAAAAGGUGGAGCUGGGGUGGAGGAGCAGUCUGCAGAGGAAGGAUGAAGAGCUGUACGAUCAGCUGAUACAGGAAACUGCUCCAGAAGAAGAAGAACUUUAUCGAACCACGAAAGGAAAUUCAAUAACUAGUAACCAGUUCCAGUCUCUAAUGUCACCCUGAACAGCUGUUUCACACUGGCUGCCUGUAACAGAGUCGCGGCACAGCAGUAUAUAACGCUGCGUUCGAGUUUCCUCGGAAUUCAGAUGUCUGAGCUGAAACUGACAUCACACCUGAGUUACCAGCGCCAAAUCUGAAAAAAGCAAAAUCGGAGGCCGAAACAAGAUGGCUACAUCUACAAUAGUUGUUUUAGCGUUUGCCUCGUCCUUGCUUGUAUUAGCACUAAAAUAUCUUCCGUAGAUGUUGCCAUCUUGUUUCCACCUCCGAUUUUACUUUCUUCCGACUUGGUACCUGAAACUCUGGGAGCUCACGUGUUACGUGGUUUUCAGCUCGGACUUCUGACUUCCGAGGAAACUCGAACGCAGCAUUAGAGCGUCAUCAGCGUAAAGAUGGAUCUCAGGAUCUGACGCAUUUUGGCCUCAAUUAUUCACAUGAAUAGAAAACAGAGGGGCCUUUCAUGGAGCUCUGUGGAACACCUUUAUGGAGCUACGAUAUCAGAGUGUAUAACGUAAAAAUCUGCUGGUCUUGAUUGCCCAACCAUAUUCGUCUAAAUGAAGUGUAAACUGUAAGGAUUCACCAAAAACCGUAGAUCGGAGAUUCCCGAUAUUUUUUAAUUUGUAUUUUUUUUCUACGAUAAAUACUAAAUAAACUCCUCUUCCUAAAAUCCUGUCGGAUUGUUUCUGUAUGAGCCUGUGAACAUGUUUAUUCUCACUGUUAAGUUUGUCAUUUUAACAUGAGGUUCUAUGAGGACUGACUCACUUUUGGUCACAGCCUCUAGUGGACAUUUAGAGAACUGCAGCUUUUAGGACUUUAAACACCAACCACAUUCAAAAACAGCUUAUUGAAAAGUGAAAGCCUAAAGUGACGACAAAGACCACAAAAAUGACACAAUUCGACUGUAAACAGCGACUUUUGAACGACGACCAAAAAGUCACAUGACUGUGCGAAUAAACCGUCUCAACAUCAACAGUCAUUUACAGGAUUGUGGCUCUAAUGAGAUGUUUGUUGUGAUUUUAGUGUGUCAUUAACAUUCACUGACACACACACACACACACACACACACACACACACACACACACACACACACACACACACACACACCACGUUUCUGGCAUCAUCCUCAGUAAUAAAUGGAAGUAAAAGAAGGCAAGGCUGAAGCGUGGGAGGGUUGGCAGGAGUGUUUCUUUGGGUAUAUGUCUAAGUGUGUGUGUGUGUGUGUGUGUGUGUGUGUGUCUCCUAGCAACCAGCACACUUCACUCAGUCUCUGGGUUGAGGCGACAACAGCAGCAGCGGC